rnacentral:rRNA from 1 species
UCCAGACUCCUACGGGAGGCAGCAGUGGGGAAUAUUGCACAAUGGGGGAAACCCUGAUGUAGCGACGCCGCGUGAGUGAAGAAGUAUUUCGGUAUGUAAAGCUCUAUCAGCAGGGAAGAAAAUGACGGUACCUGACUAAGAAGCCCCGGCUAACUACGUGCCAGCAGCCGCGGUAAUACGUAGGGGGCAAGCGUUAUCCUGAUUUACUGGGUGUAAAGGGAGCGUAGACGGCAUGGCAAGUCAGAUGUGAAAGCCCGGGGCUCAACCCCGGGACUGCAUUUGAAACUGUCAGGCUGGAGUGCAGGAGAGGUAAGUGGAAUUCCUAGUGUAGCGGUGAAAUGCGUAGAUAUUAGGAGGAACACCAGUGGCGAAGGCGGCUUACUGGACGAUGACUGACGUUGAGGCUCGAAAGCGUGGGGAGCAAACAGGAUUAGAUACCCUAGUACA